GAAAUAGCUCAGCUUGGUAGAGCGCUGCGUUCGGGACGCAGAGGUCGUGGGUUCGAAUCCCGUUUUCC
rnacentral:tRNA from 1 species